AUGCCGUGAAGAGGUCCAGCUCCGAUUGGUAGCUUGGAGCCAUAAAGUUUAAAAUGAAAUCUAUGAAGGUCAAUAGUGUAUGGAUACUCAUUGAUCCACUCGAAGAGAUAAAGUCUAUAAGAUGUAAGUAAAUCUUCAAUAGGAUCGGAGGGCACAGACAAGAAGAUGAAGGCCUACAAAGCCCAUCUGGUUGCCUAAGAAUAUUGUCAAUAUUAUGGUAUUGAUCAUAACAAGAUAUUUUUCUCCUGUGGUAAUGCUAAAUAUUUCAGAGUUGGAACAUGUAUUUUGAUAAGUGAUCAAACGCAUAGCUU
rnacentral:lncRNA from 1 species